GAUGAAGAACGUAGCGAAAUGCGAUAAGUAAUGUGAAUUGCAGAAUUCAGUGAAUCAUCGAAUCUUUGAUCGCACAUUGCGCCCGCCAGUAUUCUGGCGGGCAUGCCUGUUCGAGCGUCAUUUCAACCAUCAAGCCCCAGGCUUGUGUUGGAGCCCUGCGGCUGCCGCAGCCUCCCAAAACCAGUGGCGGGCUCGCUAUCACACCGAGUGCAGUAGUUUACUCUUCGCUCAGGGCGUGUGGCGGGUGCUAGCCGUAAAACCCCCAACUUCUCAAGGUUGACCUCGGAUCAGGUAGGAAUACCCGCUGAACUUAAGCAUAUCAAUAAGCGGAGGA
rnacentral:misc_RNA from 1 species